GUGUCGUCAAUAGGCAGCCGUACGCAUGCAGUCGAGCGGUAGCACAGAGAGCUUGCUCUCGGGUGACGAGCGGCGGACGGGUGAGUAAUGUCUGGGAAACUGCCUGAUGGAGGGGGAUAACUACUGGAAACGGUAGCUAAUACCGCAUAACGUCGCAAGACCAAAGUGGGGGACCUUCGGGCCUCAUGCCAUCAGAUGUGCCCAGAUGGGAUUAGCUAGUAGGUGGGGUAACGGCUCACCUAGGCGACGAUCCCUAGCUGGUCUGAGAGGAUGACCAGCCACACUGGAACUGAGACACGGUCCAGACUCCUACGGGAGGCAGCAGUGGGGAAUAUUGCACAAUGGGCGCAAGCCUGAUGCAGCCAUGCCGCGUGUGUGAAGAAGGCCUUCGGGUUGUAAAGCACUUUCAGCGGGGAGGAAGGCGAUAAGGUUAAUAACCUUGUCGAUUGACGUUACCCGCAGAAGAAGCACCGGCUAACUCCGUGCCAGCAGCCGCGGUAAUACGGAGGGUGCAAGCGUUAAUCGGAAUUACUGGGCGUAAAGCGCACGCAGGCGGUCUGUCAAGUCGGAUGUGAAAUCCCCGGGCUCAACCUGGGAACUGCAUUCGAAACUGGCAGGCUAGAGUCUUGUAGAGGGGGGUAGAAUUCCAGGUGUAGCGGUGAAAUGCGUAGAGAUCUGGAGGAAUACCGGUGGCGAAGGCGGCCCCCUGGACAAAGACUGACGCUCAGGUGCGAAAGCGUGGGGAGCAAACAGGAUUAGAUACCCUGGUAGUCCACGCCGUAAACGAUGUCGAUUUGGAGGUUGUGCCCUUGAGGCGUGGCUUCCGGAGCUAACGCGUUAAAUCGACCGCCUGGGGAGUACGGCCGCAAGGUUAAAACUCAAAUGAAUUGACGGGGGCCCGCACAAGCGGUGGAGCAUGUGGUUUAAUUCGAUGCAACGCGAAGAACCUUACCUGGUCUUGACAUCCACAGAACUUAGCAGAGAUGCUUUGGUGCCUUCGGGAACUGUGAGACAGGUGCUGCAUGGCUGUCGUCAGCUCGUGUUGUGAAAUGUUGGGUUAAGUCCCGCAACGAGCGCAACCCUUAUCCUUUGUUGCCAGCGGUUAGGCCGGGAACUCAAAGGAGACUGCCAGUGAUAAACUGGAGGAAGGUGGGGAUGACGUCAAGUCAUCAUGGCCCUUACGACCAGGGCUACACACGUGCUACAAUGGCAUAUACAAAGAGAAGCGACCUCGCGAGAGCAAGCGGACCUCAUAAAGUAUGUCGUAGUCCGGAUUGGAGUCUGCAACUCGACUCCAUGAAGUCGGAAUCGCUAGUAAUCGUAGAUCAGAAUGCUACGGUGAAUACGUUCCCGGGCCUUGUACACACCGCCCGUCACACCAUGGGAGUGGGUUGCAAAAGAAGUAGGUAGCUUAACCUUCGGGAGGGCGCUACUCACUUGGAUCAGGCGAAAUU
rnacentral:rRNA from 1 species